rnacentral:rRNA from 1 species
GAUGAACGCUGGCGGCGUGCCUAAUACAUGCAAGUCGAGCGGGGAUUGAAAAGCUUGCUUUUCAAUCUUAGCGGCGGACGGGUGAGUAACACGUAAACAAUCUACCUUGUAGACUGGGAUAACAUCGAGAAAUCGGUGCUAAUACCGGAUAAAAACUUUAUCCGCAUGGAUAAAGUUUGAAAGUUGGCUUCGGCUAACACUACGAAAUGAGUUUGCGGCGCAGUAGCUAGUUGGUGAGGUAACGGCUCACCAAGGCGACGAUGCGUAGCCGACCUGAGAGGGUGAUCGGCCACACUGGGACUGAGACACGGCCCAGACUCCUACGGGAGGCAGCAGUAGGGAAUUUUCCACAAUGGACGAAAGUCUGAUGGAGCAACGCCGCGUGUGCGAAGAAGGCCUUCGGGUUGUAAAGCACUGUUGUAAGGGAAGAAUGGGUGAGAGAGGAAAUGCUCUUGCUAUGACGGUACCUUACCAGAAAGCCACGGCUAACUACGUGCCAGCCGCCGCAGUAAUAC